ACACGGUUAAAUCUGCUUACCGUCUUUUAGCCUCAAAAUCCAGGUUGGAUGAAUAUCGUAAAAAUAAUAUUGCUAAUGGUUCUUAUUCUGAUAAAAAUCCCAUUCGGAAAAAAGAUUAAAACUCCUCCGAAGAUUAAAACUUUCUGGUGGCGUGUCAUUAACAACUAUAUGCCAGUCCGAGCAAUAUUGGCAAAACUCCAUCCUGCCACUUGGGCGCAGGACUUGCUUGACAAUGCGAUUUGUUCGCAGGCUUUAGGGGACCUAUCUUGUGUGGAAUGUGGGCAAUUUGGAAUGCAAGGAACAAAAGAAAUCAUGGAGAAACCUCAAUGAGCAUUACACAAACUUGCAGGUGGGCAAGGGACAUGGCCUCCGAUCUGAUUCAGACCUCGGGCCCUUGUGCAAAAGGUAGACAAAGAGCCACGGGUGUGGUGAUCAGAGAUGACAUGUGCCAGGUGAUUGCUAUAUGAUGCGAGUGGUACAACGAUAUCUCAAGUGUGCUGUCAACAGAGGCACUGGCAUGUCGGGAUGGUGCAGAAUUGAUGGACAGCCUGAACUGCAAUAAGGUGAUCUUAGAAACAGAUAAUCUGGAUAUGGAUGCGCACUAUACAGCCAUGUUCGCUUCUUGUAAUCAGUUUGUAAACACCUGGAUGGCUGGAUGUACCAGGAACCUGAUUUCCUGAACGCCUGUAGUCACAUAUGACAUUACCGCACAAUGACUUAAUAUAAGGCAGUUUCACUCUAAAAAAAAUCUAUAUGUGUGUGAUGAGUGUUCACACUUCUGUGUAUAAUGAUAUAUAAAGACGGGUGUAUGUAUGUGUGUA